GGCUCGGGGCAGGCCCUGGUCUCAGUGGGGUGAAUCAUGGGCCUCUGGAGGAGGAGAAACAGUGGUGAUGCCCAUUCCCCCAUCUGGACUCAGGCCUUCUGUCUUGGGAGCCAGCCAGGCCUGGGCAAAACAAGCUGUUUAAUGUGCUUUGUUUUUCACUUCUAAAGCAUCAACAUUA